rnacentral:rRNA from 1 species
CAGUAGCCGCGGGAAAACGUAGGGGGCUAGCGUUGUCCGGAAUCACUGGGCGUAAAGGGUUCGCAGGCGGAAAUGCAAGUCAGAUGUAAAAGGCAGUAGCUUAACUACUGUAAGCAUUUGAAACUGCAUAUCUUGAGAAGAGUAGAGGUAAGUGGAAUUUUUAGUGUAGCGGUGAAAUGCGUAGAUAUUAAAAAGAAUACCGGUGGCGAAGGCGACUUACUGGGCUCAUUCUGACGCUGAGGAACGAAAGCGUGGGUAGCAAACAGGAUUAGAUACCCCAGUAGUCCCUGUCUCUUAUACA